rnacentral:misc_RNA from 1 species
GAGGAUUAAAAGAUGAAGUACAACGAUUGAUUAACAAGACUGGCCUUCAGGAAAGAGAAUUCUCCAACUAAAAAGAGUCCAGACUCACUAGUGAAGUACAUGGUUGAUGUAGCAAUGGGAAUGCACUACAUAGCAGAGAGAGGACUAGUCCACAGAGAUCUAGCAGCUCGUAAUGUACUAGUAGGACUUGGUGAAAUAUGUAAAGUAGCUGAUUUUGGACUUUUAAGAGAACGACCUGAAGAUGAAUCAGUCUACGUGAGCUCUUCUAACAUACCUUGUCCUAUAAGAUGGAUGCCUCCUGAAGCUAUUUCAAAGAGAUCGUUCUCACCCAGCAAAAAAAUCUUACGUAAGAUCUUACUUAAGAUCUUAUGAAACCUUACAAAUGAUCUUGCAUGUUUAAUCAUGCCUGUUCUUGCAAGAUCAUUAGACAAGAAGUUCCAAAAUCUUGCCAAGAUCUUAUGAUAAAUCUUGCCAAGAUCUUAUGAUAAGUCUUACAUGAUCAGGCAUGGUCUGACGAUUAAUCUUACAUUAUCAGUCAAGAUCAGGCACUAAAUCUUACAUGAUCAGUCAAGAUCAGGAACUAAAUCUUACAUGAUCAGGCAAGAUCAGGAAUGAAAUCUUACAUGAUCAGUCAAGAUCAGGAAC